ACUAGUCUAUGGUAAAAAUAAGGAGGAUGGCACUUCCUGUUGUACACAAACUCUUUCUUUACUGGAGGAUUAUGGUAAAAAUAAAGAGGAGGAUAUCUCCUAUUUGUACAUAGACUCUCCUUUGAUUAGGGAGCUAUGUUAUGGUAUAGAGAGGAGGGCAUCAUUAGUCCUACAUUGGUUAUAAGUCAAGGAAGAUUUUAGCUUAUAUAGAAUUGGACUAUUCUUCUUAUGCGAGGCACUUUUUGAAGGACAAAAUCAUGAGACCUAUAGACC
rnacentral:lncRNA from 1 species